GACAGGUGCUGCAUGGCUGUCGUCAGCUCGUGUCGUGAGAUGUUGGGUUAAGUCCCGCAACGAGCGCAACCCUUCGUCCUUUAGUUGCCAUCAUUAAGUUGGGCACUUUAAGGAAACUGCCGGUGAUAAGCCGGAGGAAGGUGGGGAUGACGUCAAGUCCUCAUGGCCCUUACAGGCUGGGCUACACACGUGCUACAAUGGCAUCUACAGUGGGCAGCUAUUCCGCAAGGAUGCGCUAAUCUCCAAAAGAUGUCUCAGUUCGGAUUGUCCUCUGCAACUCGAGGGCAUGAAGGCGGAAUCGCUAGUAAUCGCGGAUCAGCAUGCCGCGGUGAAUACGUUCCCAGGCCUU
rnacentral:rRNA from 1 species